ACCAGACUCCUACGGGAGGCAGCAGUGGGGAAUAUUGCACAAUGGGGGGAACCCUGAUGCAGCGACGCCGCGUGGGCGAGGAAGUAUUUCGGUAUGUAAAGCCCUAUCGGCAGGGAAGAAGAAAUGACGGUACCUGAAUAAGAAGCACCGGCUAAAUACGUGCCGGCAGCCGCGGUAAUACGCAGGGGGCAAGCGUUAUCCGGAUUCACUGGGGGUAAAGGGAGCGUAGACGGCGACGCAAGUCUGGAGUGAAAGCCCGGGGCCCAACCCCGGGACUGCUCUGGAAACUGCGGCGCUGGAGUACGGGAGGGGCAGGCGGAAUUCCUGGUGUAGCGGUGAAAUGCGUAGAUAUCAGGAGGAACACCGGCGGCGAAGGCGGCCUGCUGGACCGUGACUGACGUUGAGGCUCGAGAGCGUGGGGAGCAAACAGGAUUAGAUACCCUAGUA
rnacentral:rRNA from 1 species